GCCUCAGUAGCUCAGUUUGGUAGAGCGCGUCAUUGGUAAUGACGAGGUCGCGAGUUCAAUUCUCGCCUGAGGCU
rnacentral:tRNA from 1 species